UACGGGGGGGGCAAGCGUUGUUCGGAAUUACUGGGCGUAAAGGGCUCGUAGGCGGCCAACUAAGUCAUACGUGAAAUCCCUCGGCUUAACCGGGGAACUGCGUCUGAUACUGGAUGGCUUGAGUUCGGGAGAGGGAGGCGGAAUUCCAGGUGUAGCGGUGAAAUGCGUAGAUAUCUGGAGGAACACCGGUGGCGAAGGCGGCAUCCUGGACCGAUACUGACGCUGAGGAGCGAAAGCCAGGGGAGCAAACGGG
rnacentral:rRNA from 1 species